CACGUAGGGCGCAAGCGUUGUCCGGAAUUAUUGGGCGUAAAGAGCUCGUAGGCGGUCUGUUGCGUCCGCUGUGAAAACCCGGGGCUUAACCUGGCUUGCAGUGGAUACGGACAGACUAGAGGUAGGUAGGGGAGAAUGGAAUUCCCGGUGUAGCGGUGAAGUGCGCAGAUAUCGGGAGGAACACCCGUGGCGAAAGCGGCUCUCUGGGACGGUACUGACGCUGAGACGCGAAAGCUAGGGGAGCAAACGGG
rnacentral:rRNA from 1 species